GAGAUUUGUAUGCCUACACAUUUGAACAGUGUGCAUUUCUAUCUUAUUUGCAAGAUGCCAGCCUUCUGCUCCAGCCAGAUGGGUGAGCAGUUCAGGAUGAGACCAUUUCUUCUUCUUACCUACUUCAUCAUUCAUGCUCAUCUCAAUGUUGGCUAUAAGGUAAAGGGAAGCACGCCUCAAGUGAUCAUGCAAACAACUCCAGUGAAGACACUGCGCAUGCUCUCUUCCCAAGUGCGGGCAGGCAGCUGUGCAUGUGGGCAGCCCACCCCAAAGGAAGAAGAAUCAGGAAAGAAGGGGCGCAAGACUCCGGACGUAUGCCAACGCAUAAAACCCCAAGUCAAAAGCUCAAACCACACAUCUGUCCUCCAAGAUGCCUACUUGGCCCCUUCCAAGAGUAAUUUACUUUCGUUUCAUUCCUGCUCUAAAGCUUUUUAAUAAAUGUUCACUCUUGCUCUAAAUCUUGCCUUGGCCUCUUUUUCUGCCUUGUGCCCCUCAGUCAGAUUCUUUCAUCUGAGGAGGGAAGAAUUGAAGUUGCUGUAGACCCGUAUAGAUUCGCUGCCAGCAGCUCGGGAUACCUGCCACCACUAACAUUUUGAUGUUAGAUGUCUGCAGAUCCCACAAUCCCUCCCUCUCUUUCCUGAGAUGAGAGUCUGUAAUGAAGAAUUUGCCCGUGCUCUUGCAUGGUCAUUCCUCCCCCUGAAGCCUCAGUGGGCUGUCAUUUGCCCAGAGGCAACAUGUGUCCUCCAGGCACUUAGAUGCCACUGGCUUCUAGCUCCCACCAGGUUAUUUGGUAGAAAGUCAACAGCCUCAUGGCCGAGCAUGGUGGCUCAUGCCUGUAAUCCCAGCAUUUUGGGAGGCCAAGGUGGGUGGAUCACUUGAGGUCAGGAGAUCGAGACCAGCCUGGCCAACAUGGUGAAACCCCAUUUCUAC
rnacentral:lncRNA from 10 species